rnacentral:lncRNA from 1 species
GGAAUGUGUACCAAAAUGUGUUUCUAGAGUGGAAAAUCCCUCAGUUGGUCACUCUAUAUUUAGAAAUCUAUUUGACAAUGUUUUUGUCAGUAAUGCUUUGACUCAAGCUGAGUCAAAAUUCGUUUCACUUUUAGAGGACAUGAAGAACAAAAUAAAUAUAGCUGAUUAUGUAAAGCAGGGCUUCCCUAGUCCAGAAAGACUGAGGAUUACAGAGAGGCUGAUAAUCGUCUACACUGUGUGUGCAACUGAACCGAGGAGAGAAAGGUGUGAAUAUAACAAGUGCCUGGGUAUUAUACAAUAACUGAAAGCCCAUGUCCAGGUAAAGAGAAAUCCGAAUAAAAAUCUGGAUCGGUUUACAUGCGGACAUGCUGCUAAUAUAAGUUUCUAUUGUUUAUCAACUGAGUUAAAAGUAGCUAUUAACAUUUGGAUACAUUCAUAAGAUUUGGACCUUGUUAUUCCUCGAAUUAGUCAUAUUGGUAAAGUGAAAGCAUAAACAUUUUAUGUCUUUCUCUUAUAUCUUUGAUUGAAUGAGAUAGAAAAUAAGUGCUAUAAGAUGUAUAGAGUAAGUCUAUGAGAAGGGUAGCACAAGUCCCUCCAAUUCUCCCUUUUACAACUUAUCAACUACCUGAUCCAAGGGAUCACUGUUCUCCAUUAGAAGCACUGCAUUUGCCACCUGAUUGUAGGCUCCCUCCAUCAAUGACUCCUUCUAUUCCAUACUCCAGACAGCAGCAACGUGGACACUCCUUGAGUGGAAGAGUGAAGACUUCCAUAAAUCCAUUUCAAAAAGAAACAAAAAUACUGGCAAAAUUGUCAGAAUCAGAACUCUGCUCCUACUUCAUAAAAAGCUAUGGCAAAAGGGCCUUUGUAGAUGUGAUUAAGUUAUGUCUAUUUUUAAAGAAAACUGGAGCUUCUCAUAAUGCUUUAUUGGCAAAUAAUACUUCACUAUGAAACCCUUCCCCAACCACAUCCUCCACGAGAGCAUCUAUCAAUGAAAAAUGCAUAGAGAAAAACGUAAAAAUACAACAGUUGAAAAGGAUACAAAGAAACAUAGAAUAUACAAUGUUGGUGGAAGAGAAGAUUGGCACAACCACUCUGGAGAAGGUAUAGAAUAAAUUUCCCUUACAUUCUACAAAGCAAUUUCAUUUCUAGGAAUACUAGAAGUAAUGCUUGCUCGUGAUAACAGGAAAAUAUAUAAAAGAUUUCUCACAAAAGGGAUGCUUUUAUUAGGAAAUUGUUGGAAUUAAUUCAAUGUAUAUAAAUCUAAUUGCAUGAUACUGAUAAGAGUAAAUAAGUAAAGAUACAUAAAGUAGAAUGCUGUUUACAAAAGUAUGAAAGCAUGCCAAUCAAUGUUAUGCAUUAUUUCAACACUCAUGUAUUACAAGUAUAAAAUGAUGAAUUACAAAAAUAAAAUUCAGGAGAGUUGUUACUUCUGGAGAAAGAAAAAUAGGGAGAGAAUAAAGAGGAUUGUAGAGAAAGAUUGAUUUUAUCUGUAAUGCUUUAUUUAAAAAAAAUAUAAAGCAAAUGCAUGAAAAUUUUAAAUUAUGUUAAAACUAAGCAAUGGCUACAUAGAUAUUUGUUAGAUCAUUCUUCGUAUAUAGCUC